rnacentral:rRNA from 1 species
CAGAGGUGGCAAGCGUUGUUCGGAAUUACUGGGCGUAAAGGGCGCGUAAGCGGCCAUCUAAGUCAGACGUGAAAUCCCCCGGCUUAACCUGGGAACUGCGUCUGAUACUGGACGGCUCGAGUAUGGGAGAGGGAUGUAGAAUUCCAGGUGUAGCGGUGAAAUGCGUAGAUAUCUGGAGGAAUACCGGUGGCGAAGGCGGCAUCCUGGACCAUUUACUGACGCUGAGGCGCGAAAGCUAGGGGAGCAAACGGGAUUAGAUACCCCGGUAGUCCUAGCCCUAAACGAUGAAUGCUUGGUGUGGCGGGUAUCGAUCCCUGCCGUGCCGAAGCUAACGCAUUAAGCAUUCCGCCUGGGGAGUACGGUCGCAAGGCUG